AUUAGUUAGUUGACGUAGACCCGAAGCCGGGCGACCUAUCCAUGGGCAGGUUGAAGCGAAAGUAAAAUUUCGUGGAGGACCGAACCCACGAGCGUUGAAAAGCUCGGGGAUGACCUGUGGAUAGCGGUGAAAUUCCAAUCGAGCCCGGAGAUAGCUGGUUCUCUCCGAAAUAGCUUUAGGGCUAGCCUCAAGAUUUAGAGAAACGGGGGUAGAGCACUGAAUGUCCUAGGGGGUAUUGCACUUACCGAAGACUAUCAAACUCCGAAUACCGUAUUCUUAUGCUUGGGAGUCAGACUAUGGGUGAUAAGAUUCAUAGUCAAAAGGGCAACAGCCCAGAUCGUCAGCUAAGGUCCCUAAAUGUACGUUAAGUGGUAAAGGAUGUGGGAUUGCACAGACAACCAGGAUGUUGGCUUAGAAGCAGCCACUCAUUUAAAGAGUGCGUAAUAGCUCACUGGUCGAGUGAUCCUGCGCCGAAAAUUUCCGGGGCUAAAACGUACUACCGAAGCUACGGCAUCAUUUAUGAUGGGUAGGAGAGCUUUCUAUACGGGUUGAAGCAUUACCGUAAGGAGAUGUGGACUGUAUAGAAGUGAGAAUGUUGGCAUGAGUAGCGAGAUGCGGGUGAGAAUCCCGCAGGCCGUAAACCCAAGGUUUCCAGGGGAAGGUUCGUCCGCCCUGGGUUAGUCAGGACCUAAGCCGAGGCCGAAAGGCGUAGGUGAUGGACAACAGGUUGAUAUUCCUGUACCACCAAUAACCGUUUGAGAAAUGGGAUGACACAGAAGGAUAAGCUAACCGCACUGUUGGUUAUGUGCGGGCAAGUAUUGAGGCAGUUUGGAUAGGCAAAUCCGUCCAAAUAAUGCUGGGGUACGAUGCGGAGCGAAAUUUAGUAGCGAAGUAGCUGAUUUCACACUGUCGAGAAAAGUCUCUAUCGAGGUUAAAGGUGCCUGUACCGCAAACCGACACAGGUGGGUGAGGAGAGUAUCCUAAGGCCAGCCAGAGAACUGUUGUUAAGGAACUCGGCAAAAUGACCCCGUAACUUAGGGAGAAGGGGUGCCUGUCUAUGACAGGCCGCAGAGAAUAGGCCCAAGCGACUGUUUACCAAAAACACAGGUUUCUGCUAAGUCGCAAGACGAUGUAUAGGAGCUGACGCCUGCCCGGUGCUGGAAGGUUAAGAGGGGGACUUAGGGUCAAACCAAAGGUCUGAAUCGAAGCCCCAGUAAACGGCGGCCGUAACUAUAACGGUCCUAAGGUAGCGAAAUUCCUUGUCGGGUAAGUUCCGACCCGCACGAAAGGCGUAACGAUUUGGGCACUGUCUCAACAACAGACUGGGUGAAAUUGUAAUACCGGUGAAGAUGCCGGUU
rnacentral:rRNA from 1 species